CCUACGGGAGGCUGCAGUGGGGAAUAUUGCACAAUGGGGGAAACCCUGAUGCAGCGACGCCGCGUGAGUGAAGAAGUAAUUCGUUAUGUAAAGUUCUAUCAGCAGGGAAGAAGAUGACUGUACCUGUGUAAUAAGCCCCGGCUAACUACGUGCCAGCAGCCGCGGUAAUACGUAGGGGGCAAGCGUUAUCCGGAUUUACUGGGUGUAAAGGGAGCGUAGACGGCAGUGCAAGUAUGGAGUGAAAGGCGGGGGCUCAACCCCCGGACUGCUCUGGAAACUGUACGGCUGGAGUGCAGGAGAGGUAAGUGGAAUUCCUAGUGUAGCGGUGAAAUGCGUAGAGAUGAGGAGGAACACCAGUGGCGAAGGCGGCUUACUGGACUGAAACUGACGUUGAGGCUCGAAAGCGUGGGGAGCAAACAGGAUUAGAUACCCGAGUAGUC
rnacentral:rRNA from 1 species